AGAGUUUGAUCCUGGCUCAGAUUGAACGCUGGCGGCAUGCCUUACACAUGCAAGUCGAACGGUAACAGGUCUUCGGAUGCUGACGAGUGGCGAACGGGUGAGUAAUACAUCGGAACGUGCCCGAGAGUGGGGGAUAACGGAGCGAAAGCUUUGCUAAUACCGCAUACGAUCUACGGAUGAAAGCAGGGGACCGCAAGGCCUUGCGCUCAUGGAGCGGCCGAUGGCAGAUUAGGUAGUUGGUGGGAUAAAAGCUUACCAAGCCGACGAUCUGUAGCUGGUCUGAGAGGACGACCAGCCACACUGGGACUGAGACACGGCCCAGACUCCUACGGGAGGCAGCAGUGGGGAAUUUUGGACAAUGGGCGCAAGCCUGAUCCAGCCAUGCCGCGUGCAGGAUGAAGGCCUUCGGG
rnacentral:rRNA from 1 species